rnacentral:rRNA from 1 species
CAGCAGCCACGGUAAUACGUAGGGUGCGAGCGUUAAUCGGAAUUACUGGGCGUAAAGCGUACGCAGGCAGUUAUAUAAGACAGAUGUGAAAUCCCCGGGCUCAACCUGGGACCUGCAUUUGUGACUGUAUAGCUAGAGUACGGUAGAGGGGGAUGGAAUUCCGCGUGUAGCAGUGAAAUGCGUAGAUAUGUGGAGGAAUACCGAUGGCGAAGGCAGCCCCCUGGGAUAACACUGACGCUCAUGCACGAAAGCGUGGGGAGUAAACAGGAUUAGAUACCCCCGUAGUCCCUGUCUCUUAUAC